rnacentral:misc_RNA from 1 species
AGCGUUGGGCUAUUAUGAUAUUUUCAUUUCCAGUGCCUAGUCAGAAUAUUAAGGGACAACAGCAAAGAUGCUAAGCUUUUGAACUCACAUUACAACUGGCCAACGUAGAAUUUUCAUAAUAUGAUAGUAUUUCUCAAGUCAGCAUCCAAGCCUUAAAUAAGGUCCACUGGUUCCACUGGCUUCGGAGUAUUGGCGGCUUUGCUGAUAGCGCUGAAACAAGAAGCAACGAAUUGGUAUGCAGGCCCCUGGUGCAAAUAUUCUCUGCUUUCUGUGGAUACUGUCUCUUCUAUCCACGUUAGGCGAAGGGCCAACGUGUGUGACUGCAGACACCAUCGGCCCCAAAAAUGAUCCGCUUUACUUUUACCGGGGAAACUCGAAUGGCGCAAGACCUCCGAGAAGACGUCCUACUCUUUCUACAAUACAUGAAGAGCAAGGGCCUCCGCAACGAGAGGAUGGGAGGGCUGCGCUACUAAGAAAUCCACUUCUUCGGGGAAGAGGAGCUCCGCCUAUUACUCAUCUUCGUUUUCAUCCACAACCUGUGGUUGUUCAAGGCCCCAAUAUUGCUCAGCCUCCUCCACCUAACCCCGGGGGCGGAAAUUUGCUCGGUGCAAUCAAUCGUCGUUUAAGGCAUUUACAUAUCCGCAGACAGGGUUAAUCGUGUUGGACAUACUAUCAAAGUACAUCACUGAGGAGAUGACCGUAAGUUUGAAUGCUACUUUGCGAAACGACUACCUGACACAUCAGUUUUGCGUGAAGAGACGUAUGAAAUUGCGUGGCAUCCAGUGAGGGGCCAUCAAAGUGUUCACCGCUGUUGUCUCAUCACACUAGCCUAAACGUGCUCGUCAAGUUAUCAACAAUCAGAGAAGAAGAAGAGACUGGGAAAAAAUAUAUGAAUAUUAAGUGAAUCGGCUCAGCGGGCCUGGAGAAUGCUGCGCCCGAAAGCCGGCUCUGUUCUUGAAUGGUUUUUAGUACAUUUGUAAUCACCAGUAAUCUGAAGGAGUGCUCUUGCACCUUAGGUACACAACGUCGCCCAACAUAACACUAUGACAACUGCUGGUCUGCUCCACAACUAUAUUGCCGUAAUAAAAUAUCUUCCGCAAGCCA